rnacentral:lncRNA from 1 species
GGAGGGGGUGCCUCCCAGUCUGCCCCAGAUCACGUUUGCCACCGGCAGCCAACCAGUCAGGCCCAAGUCGGCGGGCAACAAGCGAUUGGGGACGAGAGAGCUCGGCUCCCCAGUUCCCCUGUCCAGGUCCCCCCCCACCGGGCCCGAGGCGGUAUAUCCUGCUCUCCCCGGUCACCUCCCACUCGUGGAAGCGGAGCUGCGGCCUCGCUGUAACGCAGAAACGAAAUGUAGCCAGCCGGGUGUCGCGGCUGGACGCUCGCCUUGGCUGGGGGUGUGGGGGGGCACGCGGGGGGCCGAGGAGGACUGCCAAGGAAGAGGAGUGAUGAGAAGAGGGGGAACCCUGCACCCCCCGAGACCACGGGCCCCUGCUGCCACUCACCAGGCGCCCCCCUUCCUCCCAAGCGAGGGGCAGGUGUUCCAUACAGAUUCUCGUGACUUUAAGGACCAGGCAAUUGGGGAGACACAAAGUCUUCCCAGGAAGGGAGGAAAUCUCUGGAAGAGAGGGGAAAGACAGCAGACACUGCCCUGGGACCACCAGAGCCUGAGGUGCUGUGGGAAGCCGAAGGCACCGAGCAGGAGGAGCAGGAAGGAGCCCCAGCCCCAGGUGGAGGCUGUGUUCUGAAAGAUCUGAACUUGGUCUACUUUUUACGAGAGAGGGGCUGCCUCCGGAGGCACUGCAGCCUUGGGCUGGGUCCUUCUCUGGAUGCCCCCUUCCCUGAGGAGCUUGCCUCUGAGAACCAAAGAAGAUAAGAAGUCAGACAGACUUCCCCCAGGCAAGAGGCCUGGUGGCUGGAGGCAGGCAUCUGCACCCCUAGUGGUGGGCUGCUGAGCCUGGUGAGGAGUUUCUUGCUCCCCUCCAGAACCCGGCUCCAGUGCUUCAUGGGGCUGCCUGUUGGUGGAUCAGUUUUUGCAGUGCCUGGUAGCAGCAGAGAGCCGUGGGAAGAGGACCCGCGGCACCUAAGCCUGGGUUCCCCCCAAGACUAAGAUCUUUCCUGAGUUAGGGAGAGAAAAGCAGAAAAAAAAAAAGAAAGUUCCCCGC